AUUGAACGCUGGCGGCAGGCCUAACACAUGCAAGUCGAGCGGCAGCACAGUGCUUGCUCCCGGAUUCAGCGGGCGACUGGCGGAUACUGCCUGGGUAUCUCCCAGGCAGUGGUUGAUAACGUCCGGACACAGGCGCUAUUACCGCAAACGUCCUGAGGACCUACGUGUGAAAGCUUCGGACCUCACGAUCUCGGAUGAGUCUAGGUCGGAUUAGCUAGUUGGUGGGGUAAAGGCCUACCACGGCAACGAGCCGUACCUGGUCUGAGAGGCUGAUCAGUCACACUGGAACUGAGACACGGUCCAGACUCCUACGGGAGGCAGCAGUGGGGAAUAUUGGACAAUGGGCGCAAGCCUGAUCCAGCCAUACCGCGUGUGUGAAGAAGGACUUCGGGUUGUAAAGCACUUUUGGUGGGGAGGAAGGGCAGCAAGUUAAUACCUUGCUGUUGUGACGGUACCAACAGAAUAAGCACCGGCUAACUUCGUG
rnacentral:rRNA from 1 species